rnacentral:rRNA from 1 species
UACGUAGGGCGCGAGCGUUGUCCGGAAUUACUGGGCGUAAAGAGCUCGUAGGCGGCUUGUCACGUCGGGUGUGAAAGACCGGGGCUUAACUCCGGUUCUGCAUUCGAUACGGGCUAGCUAGAGUGUGGUAGGGGAGAUCGGAAUUCCUGGUGUAGCGGUGAAAUGCGCAGAUAUCAGGAGGAACACCGGUGGCGAAGGCGGAUCUCUGGGCCAUUACUGACGCUGAGGAGCGAAAGCGUGGGGAGCGAACAGG